UACGAAGGGGGGCUAGCGUUGUUCGGAAUUACUGGGCGUAAAGCGCACGUAGGCGGGCGCAGCAAGUUGGGGGGUGAAAUCCCGAGGCUCAACCUCGGAAUUGCCUUCAAAACUGCUGUGCUCGAGUUCGGAAGAGGUGAGUGGAAUUCCCAGUGUAGAGGUGAAAUUCGUAGAGAUUGGGAAGAAACACCAGUGGCGGAAGG
rnacentral:rRNA from 1 species